rnacentral:lncRNA from 1 species
CUACUUAAUUCUAGGUCUACACUCCUCACCCCUUCUCUUCCUAUCCUUCUUUAUACCCAAAUCCAUAACCAAGAGCCUAUGCUGGGUCGAAAGAUUCUCACUCAGGAUGACCUUAUAGUCCUUACACAAUACCCUAUCCCCUUUCCUAAGCAACAAAAAGUCAAUCUAGGUCUUGGCUAUCGCGCUUCGGAAGGUGAUCAGGUGAUCGUCCUUCUUCGGGAAGCCCAAGUUCACCACCACCAGCUCAAAGGACCUCGCAAAAUCCAAUAGAGUAUCCCCCUCUUUAUUUCUUUCCCCAAAACCAAAACCACC